rnacentral:rRNA from 1 species
UUUGGACGAGGGGCCCCUCUCGGGUUACCGAAUUCAGACAAACUCCGAAUGCCAAUUAAUUUAACUUGGGAGUCAGAACAUGGGUGAUAAGGUCCGUGUUCGAAAGGGAAACAGCCCAGACCACCAGCUAAGGUCCCAAAAUAUAUGUUAAGUGGAAAAGGAUGUGGCGUUGCCCAGACAACUAGGAUGUUGGCUUAGAAGCAGCCAUCAUUUAAAGAGUGCGUAAUAGCUCACUAGUCGAGUGACACUGCGCCGAAAAUGUACCGGGGCUAAACAUAUUACCGAAGCUGUGGAUUGUCCUUUGGACAAUGGUAGGAGAGCGUUCUAAGGGCGUUGAAGCAUGAUCGUAAGGACAUGUGGAGCGCUUAGAAGUGAGAAUGCCGGUGUGAGUAGCGAAAGACGGGUGAGAAUCCCGUCCACCGAUUGACUAAGGUUUCCAGAGGAAGGCUCGUCCGCUCUGGGUUAGUCGGGUCCUAAGCUGAGGCCGACAGGCGUAGGCGAUGGAUAACAGGUUGAUAUUCCUGUACCACCUAUA